CCUGGUGGCUCAGACGGUAAAGAAUCUGCCUGCAAUGCAGGAGACCCGGGUUUGAUCCCUGCAUCAGGA
rnacentral:tRNA from 1 species